GCUGGCCAAUCUGAGCCACAUGACUGGCUUAGGGAUGGGCACGUGACCCACCCUGGACCAAAGACUCUGCAAGGAUUCAUGCAAGCCCUAUUGGAAGGGAUAUUUGCCUUUUGCUGGGUUUCUUAACAUGGCAGGAUGUAAGCCUGGAGCAAUUGGUAGUCAUCUUUGCACCUCGUAAGAAAUACCUACCUGAGCAUGAAGCCAAAACUGAGAAAAAAGGAGCUGGGUUACAAAGAAGGACAGAUUUCUGACGACACUGUCUGAGGACUUGGUUUUAUUAAAACCAGACCCUUCUGGAAUUUUCAGUUAUGGCCCAGCGAAGCACAACUCCUGGAAUCCAGGAGAGGCCCCAGGAACAGAUGCUGAUGGAGACUCCACUAUCCUGAGGAAGGGAAACCCUGGCCCCCUUUCCCAUUCCAUCUCUGCUGAUCCUUCCUCCGCUGUAGGCUUCUUCCCGCUAACCAGUUCUCCAGCUCUUGAAACUGCAGCCUUCCACCAAUUCCUCAACUUCUCCAGGACCUGGUUUUGGAUUAGAAAACUCCUACUACUAUUAAGUAAUCCUUUCUGGAAAUGGCCCUCAACACCUGCCUCACCUAUUUCCUAUUCUGGUUUCUACCUUACACUUCACUUUUUAAAAAAAGUUGGAGGUGAAAAUAUAUUCAGAGAACCUGUCUUUCUGUCAUGUUGUGUUAAUAAUCAACUUGAGGCAAAAUUCCAAUACUGUUUUUCUGAGAAGGGAAAGCUGUAAAUUCUAUGCUGGAAACUGUUCUAAAUAUUCCAAGGAGAGGGGUCCCAUCUCAGAGCAGCUUCUUGAGAAGGAAAAUCCUCUGCUCACAAGAUCCCAAAAUGCAGCUUCUCAAGAGAGUCCAGGAGUCUAUGAUGAAGCAUCUUCUAUAGUAUAGUUUCCAAACUUUAAAAUAUCAAUGGAUAGCCUUUUUAAACAGUAAUUCUUAUAAGGACAGUUAAUAUAAAACACAAACUGAAAAGAGCUGCUUGGUGGGGGGUAGGGGGAAGGCCCUGGUAGCGACUAGGGGUCAGGAAGAACUGCAUGGAAUCCAUUCAGCCAACGAGAGAUUUUCAGAGUCAUUUAACAACCACUAUUACACAGAACUUAUUUAUUAUAUUACAUAUAAUUUUUUUCAUGAUAAAUAAUCC
rnacentral:lncRNA from 1 species